UGGGAAUUUUGGACAAUGGGCGAAAGCCUGAUCCAGCAAUGCCGCGUGUGUGAAGAAGGCCUUCGGGUUGUAAAGCACUUUUGUCCGGAAAGAAAUCCUUGGCUCUAAUACAGUCGGGGGAUGACGGUACCGGAAGAAUAAGCACCGGCUAACUACGUGCCAGCAGCCGCGGUAAUACGUAGGGUGCAAGCGUUAAUCGGAAUUACUGGGCGUAAAGCGUGCGCAGGCGGUUUGCUAAGACCGAUGUGAAAUCCCCGGGCUCAACCUGGGAACUGCAUUGGUGACUGGCAGGCUAGAGUAUGGCAGAGGGGGGUAGAAUUCCACGUGUAGCAGUGAAAUGCGUAGAGAUGUGGAGGAAUACCGAUGGCGAAGGCAGCCCCCUGGGCCAAUACUGACGCUCAUGCACGAAAGCGUGGGGAGCAAACAGGAUUAGAUACCCUGGUAGUCCACGCCCCUAAACGAUGUCAACUAGUUGUUGGGGACUUCAUUUUCCUUAGUAACGUAGCUAACGCGUGAAGUUGACCGCCUGGGGAGUACGGUCGCAAGAUUAAAACUCAAAGGAAUUGACGGGGU
rnacentral:rRNA from 1 species